UGGUGGAGUGAUUUGUCUGCCUAAUUGCGAUAACGAACGAGACCUUAACCUGCUAAAUAGCCAGGCUAGCUUUGGCUGGUCGCCGGCUUCUUAGAGGGACUAUCGGCUCAAGCCGAUGGAAGUUUGAGGCAAUAACA
rnacentral:rRNA from 1 species